GGUGGCUCAGUGGUAGAGUGCUUGCCUUGCAUGCAUGAGGACCUGGGUUCGAUUCCUUAGCACCA
rnacentral:tRNA from 1 species